rnacentral:rRNA from 1 species
GCUUGGUGCUGCUUACUAUGCAAGUCGAGCGGUAAGGCCCUUCGGGGUACACGAGCGGCGAACGGGUGAGUAACACGUGAGCAACCUGCCCCUGACUCUGGGAUAAGCGGUGGAAACGCCGUCUAAUACCGGAUAUGACCGGCCACCUCAUGGUGGACGGUGGAAAGUUUUAUCGGUCAGGGAUGGGCUCGCGGCCUAUCAGCUAGUUGGUGGGGUAAAGGCCUACCAAGGCGAUUACGGGUAGCCGGCCUGAGAGGGCGACCGGCCACACUGGGACUGAGACACGGCCCAGACUCCUGCGGGAGGCAGCAGUGGGGAAUAUUGCGCAAUGGGCGAAAGCCUGACGCAGCGACGCCGCGUGGGGGAUGACGGCCUUCGGGUUGUAAACCUCUUUUACCACCAACGCAGGCUCCACGUUCUCGUGGGGUUGACGGUAGGUGGGGAAUAAGGACCGGCUAACUACGUGCCAGCAGCCGCGGUAAUACGUAGGGUCCGAGCGUUGUCCGGAAUUAUUGGGCGUAAAGAGCUCGUAGGCGGCGUGUCGCGUCUGCUGUGAAAGACCGGGGCUUAACUCCGGUUCUGCAGUGGAUACGGGCAUGCUAGAGGUAGGUAGGGGAGACUGGAAUUCCUGGUGUAGCGGUGAAAUGCGCAGAUAUCAGGAGGAACACCGGUGGCGAAGGCGGGUCUCUGGGCCUUACCUGACGCUGAGGAGCGAAAGCAUGGGGAGCGAACAGGAUUAGAUACCCUGGUAGUCCAUGCCGUAAACGUUGGGCGCUAGGUGUGGGGACUUUCCACGGUUUCCGCGCCGUAGCUAACGCAUUAAGCGCCCCGCCUGGGGAGUACGGCCGCAAGGCUAAAACUCAAAGGAAUUGACGGGGGCCCGCACAAGCGGCGGAGCAUGUUGCUUAAUUCGACGCAACGCGAAGAACCUUACCAAGGUUUGACAUCACCCGUGGACCUGCAGAGAUGUGGGGUCAUUUAGUUGGUGGGUGACAGGUGGUGCAUGGCUGUCGUCAGCUCGUGUCGUGAGAUGUUGGGUUAAGUCCCGCAACGAGCGCAACCCUUAUUCCAUGUUGCCAGCACGUAAUGUGGGACUCAUGGGAAGACUGCCGGGUCAAC